rnacentral:lncRNA from 1 species
CACAGCCAAUGAAGGAAAUCUACAGACAGAUACCCAGUGGGCAGGCCCUGAGGAAGCCUGGGUAUUCUGUGGGAAUUGGCCAAGUGACAAGCCAUUUUUGUCCAAGGGUCGCAAAGACCUGAUACAGCUAUCUCUGCAGCUGAAAUGGAAAACAAACUUACAAAGCCCCCCUGGAGAAUGGAAUGGCCCUUUACGGUGACAAGGGCUUCUGGCCCAGGAGUCCCUGCCGCCAGAGCCCCAUCCCAGGGAAGAUGGAACAGUCGCACGCAGGCCUGGGCUCUGCCCACACCAAUGAGCGGAGCUGGCAGGCAGCUUCCAGGGGCCAGCGCCACAAACAAACGAGUGCCGCCUUGCUUCUGCCUGCCAAACCUUGUGCGAGAAUCUCUCUUGAGGCCCACGCUAACCAGAACCAUGCAGAGAGGGGGAAGCUGGGAAGUGUCCCGCAGUCUGGCCAAGUUGACACAGGCCACUGGCCAGUUUUCAUCCACCUGGCAACAAGCAAAGCAUAUGAGGGCUCCGUAUGCCGGCGUCUAUGGAAGGACACAAGCUCUCUGGCAAACCUGAGCUUCUUCACAAAGUCCAAUGCUGUUUGAAGAAGCAAAAAAGAUGCCCGACUGGAGACAGGGUCAAGUAAAUUGGUUCUUAAUUGGUUUAGAUUGUUUUAACUUUGUA